UGACGCCUGCCCGGUGCCGGAAGGUUAAUUGAUGGGGUUAGCGCAAGCGAAGCUCUUGAUCGAAGCCCCGGUAAACGGCGGCCGUAACAAUAACGGUCCUAAGGUAGCGAAAUUCCUUGUCGGGUAAGUUCCGACCUGCACGAAUGGCGUAACGAUGGCGGCGCUGUCUCCACCCGAGACUCAGUGAAAUUGAAAUCGCUGUGAAGAUGCAGUGUAUCCGCGGCUAGACGGAAAGACCCCGUGAACCUUUACUAUAGCUUUGCACUGGACUUUGAGCUUGCUUGUGUAGGAUAGGUGGGAGGCUUUGAAGUGGGGACGCCAGUUCUCAUGGAGCCAUCCUUGAAAUACCACCCUGGCAACCUUGAGGUUCUAACUCAGGUCCGUUAUCCGGAUCGAGGACAGUGUAUGGUGGGUAGUUUGACUGGGGCGGUCUCCUCCCAAAGAGUAACGGAGGAGUACGAAGGUGCGCUCAGACCGGUCGGAAAUCGGUCGUAGAGUAUAAAGGCAAAAGCGCGCUUGACUGCGAGACACACACGUCGAGCAGGUACGAAAGUAGGUCUUAGUGAUCCGGUGGUUCUGUAUGGAAGGGCCAUCGCUCAACGGAUAAAAGGUACUCCGGGGAUAACAGGCUGAUACCGCCCAAGAGUUCAUAUCGACGGCGGUGUUUGGCACCUCGAUGUCGGCUCAUCACAUCCUGGGGCUGAAGCCGGUCCCAAGGGUAUGGCUGUUCGCCAUUUAAAGUGGUACGCGAGCUGGGUUUAGAACGUCGUGAGACAGUUCGGUCCCUAUCUGCCGUGGACGUUUGAGAUUUGAGAGGGGCUGCUCCUAGUACGAGAGGACCGGAGUGGACGAACCUCUGGUGUUCCGGUUGUCACGCCAGUGGCAUUGCCGGGUAGCUAUGUUCGGAAGAGAUAACCGCUGAAAGCAUCUAAGCGGGAAACUUGCCUCAAGAUGAGAUCUCACUGGAGCCUUGAGCUCCCUGAAGGGCCGUCGAAGACUACGACGUUGAUAGGUUGGGUGUGUAAGCGCUGUGAGGCGUUGAGCUAACCAAUACUAAUUGC
rnacentral:rRNA from 1 species